UAAAUUAUGUGUAUUAAUAGUGUUUAUAGUUAUAUCUCAUACAACUAUAUACCCUCUUAGUAUGCGAAAUGAGCAAGUUGUUUUGCGAUUAUUUAGCUUGCAAUACGAGCAUGUAAUUUUCUCAUACUUUUUAUUGUGUCCUUUAAUGCUUUGGUAGAGUAGUAUAUUCGUAGAUAGUUAUAGCAAUAAUCUAAAGAAAUUAUAUACUCUGUUGGUAUACAUAUAUACCAUAUUGGUAUCAUAUGGUACUAGAAGUCUUUUUCGGUACUUAUACUUUUGUUGUAUUUUUUAAUAUUUUCUUUUUAUUCUAACUAGUAUAUAUAGAGAUUUGGUUGCGGUAGAUUAUGUUUUCUUGCUCUAUAACUGGUUGUAUUACCGGUAAUGGUAGAGUGCGUAUUGAUAUUUAUAGGAAAGGAGAUCAAGGUUUGCAUGGUAAUCAUGUGUUGAUUCUCAGAAAAAUCAUUAUGUAAUUUAUGGUACUCAACAACAGUCAAUGUGAUAUUCAGUGCAUUAAAUCAAGCGACAACUGAUAUUAUUUCAAUUUAAUAAUUGAAUUUAAAAAAUAAGAAAAAAACUAAAGGUAUAUUGUACUAGUUAUAUUUAAAAAAAUAUGAACAAAUAUUUAUUAUAUCAAUUAUUUUUCUUAUUGUGUAUUUUUUUUUUUGACAACGAUAAAUAAAAUUAGAUUCUGAAGAGAAAAAGAAUAUAAAAAUAAGAAGUUAAAUGAAAUUAGAAAAGGAUAAACGAAAAAAAUAAGAAGAAAAUGAGAAAAAUGAAAAGCAGAAAGGAAAAGGAAAAAAGAAAAGAAGCAUAGAAAUAAAAAAGAAAUGGAGAAUAAAGAAAAAAUGCACCAAAAAGAACUACUAUGGGUAGAAAUGUAAUUAGUUUAUGGGUAGAAAAAAUAAAUGGGUAGACAAGGGUAAAUAAUUUUAUUUUUGUGGGUAGCUGUGCCAAAACCCCAAUUAAUUUGUCAUUGGCCUAAUACAAACUAAACAAUUAUUUUAAAACUAAAUGUGCCUUUAGGCUCAAGAAUAAGCCAGAGGAGUAUGAAUUGAUUCUCAUUUUACAAACAAGGAAAACUGGUUAUCGAAGGCCUUGGCCCAGGUCCAAAUGCACGCAUAAUUGGGCACGACCUGGGCAAUCAGUUAAGGUCCUGAGGUCCGAAAUGGGUUGUUUAGCCCUGUUUGAUAACAUCAAUCCCAAUCCCAACUUAAAUUGAAUAAAUAUUCACAUGAGAUUGCCCAACUAUUUCAGGUUGAUUCGAACUAGGUUACUAAACGGUAUUAUUGUAGUUCUGCUUAUUGAAAUGGAAAACAACGAUUAUCAUGGAUUCAACUUAUGUUACCUUGGUCCCUAAAUUGUUAUUAUGGAAAGAUGAAUUCGAAAUCCAACUUUUACAGUCCAAUUGAAGUGUUCACCAUUUUGAGUACUUCAUUGCACAUAAGGACCAUAAAUAAAACUAUAUUAGGCUAAGAAGUAUCUAUACUAAUUGCUUCACAUAUCACUACACUUGAUAAUUUUCGAAAUCUAGACCCGGGUUAAUUACUUGGAGAAAUUAAACCACACUACAUUGUACGGAUGAAGCAACUUACACAGCUCACGUUUGUACAUAGAAGUUAUACAAACAAAAGUUUCAAGUAAUCAUGAAUGCUUUAUAUUUUCGUACAGAUGAAGCAACUUACACAGCUCACAUUUCUAUAUUCCAGUUAUACAAACGAAAGCUUCAAGUAAUCGUGAAUGCUUUAUACUUCUCAGCCGAACGGAAAUGAAACAGAUUCAAGGACCAAUUUUCACAAGACCUAAACUGAAUAACUACCAUUUAACACAGUCCAAUUAUAGUCCAGUUUCAGUCAUAUGCAAAUCAUAACUAAGCUUUUGUGUCUAAACUAUAUAUGCAUCAAUACAUAAUGGUCCAAAACAAGCAGAGCUUAAUAAGCACAGGGGUAAACAUUUCUAAUUUGCAUCUCUACUUCAAACUCAGCAUCAAUACAUCAUGAGAGAAACAGAUACCGGGAUAAUGGAAUACAAGAAAAAGGAGGAUAAUUAGCAGUAGCAAAGCAGCAACACAGACAACAAUCAACAACAGCCCAAUAACGAAUGCAGCAAACCCAGAAGAAUUUGAAACCAAACAAAACCAAAGUACUCAAACUCAAACAGCUCAAAUAAGCUCAAAUGACCUCAGAAUUGAUUCCCAAAAAUACUCCACAGGUUAAUCACCAGGGGUUGAAUUAAUGGAUUUGAAUUAGGCACAUAAUCUGAAAAUGACCUCAGGCAAUUAAAUAGUAAUCCCUUAACCUCUCUCUCUUAGUGUUUUUAGAAGUAUUCCCACGCUCUCAAAGAUCUGUUGUGUGUUUAAGUUCUCAAAGACUGGCCAAACUCUCAAGAAUUGGUCGCUCUCACAAGCUCUCUCUCUUUAACUGGACAACUGAUUCAAAAGAAAAGACCAGCCCUAAACUCUCUCUGAAGAAUUGCUUUUUUAAAGUUCUCUAGACUGUUUCUCACUCAAAAAAGAAAAUCUUUAAACUAUGGACUUUUUCCUCAAAAUCCCUUCUCUCAAAUUGAUAAAAAGCCCUCCUCCUAUGUCCAAACUCUUCUCCAUUUAUAACCCAAAACAGACAUGCCCCCUUUUGAAAAACUUAACCAUCCCACCCCCAAAAUACAAAAAGUCAGCCUAUACUUUUUGGAAAACUUACUCAAGAGUGUUCUUUCCUUAAUUUUCUCCUUAAUUUAAGGUAGAUGUUAUGGAUUAAUCCCUAUCAACAUUAGACUAAUGUACAGUUUUAUUAGUGCUUGACUAUCAGGACAUUAACUUAGUCAAUUCCGUCCACUUUUCAUUUACAAAAUACUCCUAAAAUGCUAUUGUUAUUACUGCCCUGCCCUUAGCCUUUAACCAGUUUAUUCUGACUCUUUCCCACUAGUAAAGGUAUUAAGCUAACUCAACAGUGCCUUUUUUCUUAGCUAAUUCAAAAAAUUGUCAGUUCUUUAACAUGGCCAUUCCCAUUUUUAAAUUCAAACAGCUAUGGACAACCAUAUUUUUCCUGACAGUCCAAACCAAUUUUUACUAAACAAUGUCAUUAGACAUUAGUGUUUCCUGACAGUUCUAAUGAACUGGUUGCCAAUUUUUAUUUUCUGACUUUAAAUAUUUCGAACAGUCAUCAAGCAUCAAUUACGUAAUGUUAAUUAAACUGAAGCCUAAUCAACUACCACAAUAUAACAGUUAUAGCCAAUUUGAAACAAAAUUCAAACAAUGAUCCUGUCACCAAAACAAACAAGCACUAAUAUUAUUGUCGCAUUGUUCUAACAAACAAACCUAUACGACUAAUCCACGAUAUUUAUUUAAUAGAUGAAACACAUAUGAUCGAUAACAAGUAAUCGACACCAACAUAGUGUAUUUAUAGCUUUCGUACAAAACAGGGGAAAUACGAAAUUAAAUAUUUGACGAUAUUAAUCGAAUCAAAUAUGUAUUUCAUAACAAACACAUCAAACAGAGACAAUCAAACGACCAAAUAAAAGGUCUGUUGAAGAUGAAGAAUUUUGGCAGGAAAAUAAUAGAAAAAUCAAAUAAGUAAAAACAAAUAUGCAAAUGAACACAAAUAAUCACGAACAGAAAUAGAAGGAAAAAGAAAACUUAUCUUUGAAAACUCCUGAACUAACGACCCCGUCUUGGACCAGACUCAACCAUUUGAAGUCGAAUGGGCUUUAAUCGGGGUUUUCUUAGUUGAGAACACCUAAACUAAAGUCCAUUAGACCUCAAUCAUCUAUCAAUUUGGAAAAACUCUCCAUGGAUUUGAGUUCUAGGGUUGUUGAGGCUCAGAUUAGGGGUUCGAGCUUUUCUGGCCAAAUUCAAACCAAACCAUACUUGGGUUGGUCACGAGGUAGGUUGGGGAUUAAGUGGUGUAAAUUUAGGAUCAAUCGGUGUAGGUUGAGGCUUGGCUCGAAUAUUCAAAUGAUGAUUCGAGAAGAUAGGGGUCGAUUCGAGGCAAAUGGUUUGGUGGUUUUGGAUUCAGGGUGGCUAGAUAGUCCUAGGGUGUUAAUUUUGUGGUCACUGGCAUUGUUGCCGCCGGGUUUAUGGCGGAGGGAGCUCAAUGGCGGCUAGGGUUUGGGGCUUGGUCUCCUCUUUGAGCUCUUGAGAGAGACAAAGUGAUAGGGGGUAGGGUUAGCUAAGGGUGAGUGGGAUGAGUGAAGAGGGA
rnacentral:lncRNA from 1 species